rnacentral:rRNA from 1 species
GAAUUGCAGAAUUCCGUGAAUCAUCGAGUUUUUGAACGCAAGUUGUGCCCAAGGCUCGUCUGAGGGCAUGCCUGCCUGAGCGUCCG